rnacentral:sRNA from 1 species
UCCUAGCCCAGAUAGCAGUGAAAAUCCUUUUAUUUUUUUGCUGCCAAAAAAAUAAAAGAUUGUAACGAAUAGCUGGAAAAAGC